rnacentral:rRNA from 1 species
UACGAAGGGGGCUAGCGUUGCUCGGAAUCACUGGGCGUAAAGGGUGCGUAGGCGGGUCUUUUAAGUCAGAGGUGAAAUCCUGGAGCUCAACUCCAGAACUGCCUUUGAUACUGAAGAUCUUGAGUUCGGGAGAGGUGAGUGGAACUGCGAGUGUAGAGGUGAAAUUCGUAGAUAUUCGCAAGAACACCAGUGGCGAAGGCGGCUCACUGGCCCGAUACUGACGCUGAGGUGCGAAAGCGUGGGGAGCAAACAGG